GUGAGUUUCAGAGACGGGACUGUCAGGGAAAACUGUGGUUGCAACUGUGGUUGCAAGGGAAGUCGAGCCUUUUCAUAACCCUCAUAUGAAACGUUAUAAAUAGGACCAUUGUUUUUGGGGAACAUAAGGGAUAUUGUGUUCGACCAGCCUUCUGACACCCAUUCACGAGAGAAUAUCGCGCUCUAGAGACAACGCGUUGAACGUUAUUUUAAUUCUACCGCGGCAGCAGUUCUAUUCGUUUCGUUUGCAGUUUUUAGGAAAAUAUUAUUUAUCUCUGAGUCUGAACUGUACUGUACCCACUUGUAUGGACUGUACAGGUUACCCGAGAAGGUCAGGGUCAGUGUGUUCAACUCAGCGCGAAGGACAGAAUAUUUUAAGUAAACGCUGGGUCAAGCGACGCAGAAAGGAACGGACCAAUCAGGACGCUCGUUGGGAUGCGUCGGUCAGCGGCUGUGCGUCGUCAUUGCGCGGCAAGUUGGCAGAGUUUCCAGAGUUCAUUCCGCUCGCGCCAGGGAAGCAGCGAGAAGGCGGAAGUCGAGCUGGCUGCCUCAACUCUCUUCCAGCGAUGGAGCAGGGGGAGUAGGGACCGAGAACCGCCGAAACACCGGAUAACCUCCUCCAAACAGUCGCUACGGGGGGACGCGGAGACCUCCCUCAGAGUAAUUGGACGAAGGCGUCUACAGUGGAGGUUUGUUAUUAAUAAGAGAUCAGACGUUCGGUCUGAACAUUAACACGCAUUGCUUGCGGUACGGUUUUGGAAGCAUAACCUUUCAUAUAAGCGAGACAUACUUUUCUCAAAACAAAAGGUUAAAUUGAAACGCACAUUUUUAUAGGGUUAGGGUUGGUGUUCCCACAAGGUCAUAUCUCCAUGUUACAGCUGUUUACGGAAGACAGACGGAGGAAUGCGACAUGCUAAUUGGCUGUCUCGCGUGCUCUGAACACCUGUGUGUAACAGAAGGCCGACAGAAACAUGUUGUCACUGAAAGAUACUGUCAGCUGCGACUGUGAUGAAGCCGGUUAAAACAGUGUACAGUAAGUGUAUAUCGUAUGUGUUUUCCAUUUGGGAAAUGAUUUUGUGAUAUGAAAGUACAGGGCUUUAUGUUUCUAGAACCGUAUCGCAAUUGAGAAUCGAUUGACGUUUAGAUGGGAGUAUUUGGCUGUUUUGGCUGCGGAGAUGGUCUACCUCUGAAAAUAGCAUACGGUCCUUGGACAUUAAAGGAGUGAAGGUAUCAAAGCUAACUAGUAGCUAGAUACGCAUUUGGUCAGUCUGCUAGUUUGACAGUCAUUCGUUUUGCCCCAAGAUUACUGGGGUGUAAUCAUUACACCGAUUCCUAUAGCAAAACGUUUAGUCUGCUGCAAAACGUUUU
ensembl:lncRNA